AACGAACGCUGGCGGCAUGCCUUACACAUGCAAGUCGAACGGCAGCACGGGAGCAAUCCUGGUGGCGAGUGGCGAACGGGUGAGUAAUAUAUCGGAACGUGCCCAGUCGUGGGGGAUAACGCAGCGAAAGCUGUGCUAAUACCGCAUACGAUCUCUGGAUGAAAGCGGGGGACUCGCAAGGGCCUCGCGCGAUUGGAGCGGCCGAUAUCAGAUAGCUAGUUGGCGGGGUAAAGGCCCACCAAGGCGACGAUCUGUAGCUGGUCUGAGAGGACGACCAGCCACACUGGAACUGAGACACGGUCCAGACUCCUACGGGAGGCAGCAGUGGGGAAUUUUGGACAAUGGGCGCAAGCCUGAUCCAGCAAUGCCGCGUGCAGGAUGAAGGCCUUCGGUU
rnacentral:rRNA from 1 species